CGACCCUUCCUGUCAAUCCCAUCUCCACUCCAGCGCGCCGCCACCUCUGUCCCCACCCCGCCGGCGCGCCGCCAGCCCGCCUCCCGUCACCGCACGCCGCUGCCCCUCCCUCGCCGCGCGCUGCCGGAGUGCCUACCCCUGCCCCAAGUUACCCCAGCAACAGCCGCCACCGCCAGCAGCAGCAGCAGCAGCCGGAGAUCCCAUCUUGGGGCCGGCGCUGGUCGAGGAAGGCCCGAGUGGCGCCGCCGGCCGAGAAGCCCGCGCCAGAUGACGAUAGGAGCGAGGGCGUCGCCAGCCCGGACACCCCCGAGGACGACGAGCACGACGAGGCAGUAGCGACGGAGGACGAGGCCAAAGCCAGCGCGCAGGACAAGUGGGCGCAGGAGCAGCGCGGCGUGGUUGCGAGCUUGUCCCACGAGAACGCCCAUCUCCUAAAGGCAAUCUUCUUGACAAAGCUGAGGAUAGUGAAUGGCGGGGAUGAUGGUGCUGGAGAGCCGCCCCCUAUUGGCGUGAAAGCGCACGCUGGACUGUGGGACCUUAGCCAUGCCGAGUUCAACAAUAGAGUACGGGUAAUUCAUAGAGAGGAGGAGCAUGGAGAAGGCUGCUAGAGCCUGAUAUAUUCGUUGUGACUUGGGCCUGACCAUUUGGAGAGGUAUAUGUUGAACUGGUGAGACUCGACGACAAGUGCUAUCCUCAUGAGGCCAGACAAGUCGUUGUGCCAAUCCAGCGAGAGUGUCCAACAGCGGAAAGUCAUCUGAAGAAUCAUGUCCCAGUGAGUAGUCCAGCUCCAGCAACAAGACCACAUCUGGCUUCCACCAAGAAGCUGGACCAGCGGCAUUGUACUCAGAAUACUACAAUUUUGAAGUUGUGGUUUAUGUGGAUGCGGUGAAAGAUGAAAUGAGGUAGCCGAGUUCUCAUGGAUUUCCCCCAAUCGACAAUGAGAUUGACCAAUGAAUGUGAAGAGUGGAACCGCUCCAAGUGUGUUGCGAGCUCACCAUGGUGUCCUUACUCUAGGUUGAGAGCUGUCACCAAUGAUCCGACGAGCCACCUUGAAUAGAAGUUACACCGGGAUGUGUUUUGAGGGAUGAGGUGGAGCUCGUGAUUUCCAGGUCAGCCUAUCCAUGCAAAUCGUUGGCAUUGUUGUCAUGCUCGCCAAUCGGGGAAACAUGUGCAAAACGACAUCCUAGGAUAUCGGACAAAUCUUGUGCCGGAGGCUGGAAUCUCGCCUUGCUCAACCCAUUGGCACUCAUCAACGAUGCACAAGGAUAUGGACAACUUAGUUAUCUCCCGUGGCAACGCACAGGCAAGCAUGGAUCGACUCCAUCGUUCGGCACCGAGAAAGCGAACAAACAGCCCAUCCAGAAAAGGGGCGUGGCCGACUAGGAACUCCGGUGACACUCAAAGCAGAGCAGGCAACGGGCGCGGCGAGGAACUUCGGCGAUGCUUGACGCAGAGGAGGUAGCGGUCGGGGCGAGGAACUCCAGCGGCGCUCGACGCAGAGGAGGCAGCAGGCGCGGCAAGGAACUCCGGUGAUGGAAGAAGGCGACGGAGAUGUGGGGUGGUGCAGCGGGUGGAUCCGAGCGCGAGGGAUCUCCGGACCGGAGCGAGCAGGUGCUUCGGCCGGGUCAAGGUGCUCCAGCGAUGAGGGCGGCUUGGUGGAGCUCCUCUCCUGUGGAGCUCGGGAACCGGGCGAGGUAGGAGGCAGAGGAGGCGUGGGCGUCGGGACCCAUCCAAUCCGGGGCGUGGGCGUUGGGAGAGCUUCCUUGGUGGCGACUUGAGGAGGGGACCGGCGUAGGCCGGCGCAGCAAGCUCUUGCGGCGGGUCGCUGGUGCGCGGCGUGGCUUGACGCAAGACAGGAGCGAUUGCUCCGCAGUUUCUGCCGAUGGCGACGUGGGUGGGUCAUGGCCUCAUGGGGUGCUGCGGUUACUGGCGACGGCCACAUGGGCGCCCGGAUAAGAACAUGGUUUGAUGUGUGGUGCUCGGCCAGCCACGUUACCGAUCCAUGUGACUAGCUGGCCAGCCAAUAGGAUUGCAACAUUUUUUUUUUGUGUUUUUUGCUUAUUGUUUUAAUAAAUCUUCUAUGUAAAAAUUUCGUAAAUAUUAUUAAAAACCACGCCCGCUAGGAAUCAUAAACCAUUACCACGUCAAA